rnacentral:rRNA from 1 species
AAUUCGAUUAGAGUUUGAUCCUGGCUCAGAUUGAACGCUGGCGGCAUGCCUUACACAUGCAAGUCGAACGGCAGCACGGGAGCUUGCUCCUGGUGGCGAGUGGCGAACGGGUGAGUAAUACAUCGGAACGUACCCAGGAGUGGGGGAUAACGUAGCGAAAGUUACGCUAAUACCGCAUAUUCUGUGAGCAGGAAAGCGGGGGAUCGCAAGACCUCGCGCUCUUGGAGCGGCCGAUGUCGGAUUAGCUAGUUGGUGAGGUAAAAGCUCACCAAGGCGACGAUCCGUAGCAGGUCUGAGAGGAUGAUCUGCCACACUGGGACUGAGACACGGCCCAGACUCCUACGGGAGGCAGCAGUGGGGAAUUUUGGACAAUGGGGGCAACCCUGAUCCAGCCAUGCCGCGUGAGUGAAGAAGGCCUUCGGGUUGUAAAGCUCUUUCGGCGGGGAAGAAAUGGCAACGGCUAAUAUCCGUUGUUGAUGACGGUACCCGCAUAAGAAGCACCGGCUAACUACGUGCCAGCAGCCGCGGUAAUACGUAGGGUGCGAGCGUUAAUCGGAAUUACUGGGCGUAAAGCGUGCGCAGGCGGUUUCGUAAGACAGACGUGAAAUCCCCGGGCUCAACCUGGGAACUGCGUUUGUGACUGCGAGGCUAGAGUACGGCAGAGGGGGGUAGAAUUCCACGUGUAGCAGUGAAAUGCGUAGAGAUGUGGAGGAAUACCGAUGGCGAAACAGCCCCCU